rnacentral:rRNA from 1 species
CUAACGAGGAUUCCUAGAGUAACUGCGAGUGAAAUAGGAAAAAGUCCAGCGCCGAAUCUCUCACCUAUCACUGGGUGGCGAGAAAUGUGGUGUGAAGGAAAGCGAUAUUCGGUCGUUCGAAAGUUUUUCAAGUCCGUUUGAUAGCGGCCAUUACCUAUGGAGGGUGCGAGGCCUGUUUUUUGAAACGUUCGACGUUCGAUACGCGUUUUCCAUAGAGUCGGGUUGCUCGGGAUUGCAGCCUAAAUCUGGUGGUAAACUCCAUCUAAGACUAAAUAUCGAUACGAGUCCGAUAGCGAACAAGUACCGUGAGGGAAAGUUGAAAAGAACUUUGAAGAGAGAGUUCAAAAGUACGUGAAACCGCUUAAAGGUAAGCGGAGGAGCUCGGAAAGGGAGCGUCCGAUUCAGCCACGUCUAAAACGGUCGCGCGUGCCGCGAAGAGGUUGCACUCCUUACCGGGUGCUAGUACCUUCGCGUGUACGUUUCGUCGAUUGGCCGUUAGGCGCGGUGCAUUUCGGACGAUAUUUUCUGUGUCGUGACCGAUCGCGGACGUUGUUUCGCGCGUAUACGCGGGAGUAUGCUCGUUUUUGACGGGCACGCUUCAAAAGUUAACGCGUCACCGAAUGAAACAUUCAGUCCGCGAUCGACUUGGAACGAGAGACCGCGGUUGCCCGUUUUUAAAGGGCGCGUAACUCAUGUAUUUUCGGAGUGUCGGAUGACGUUACCGCGUUGUGACGGCUCAAGGGUCGUCGUCCGGUUUCGUGUACGCCGGUAUUCCGGGAUGAAGUGCGCCUUCCGUCGGUGUGGUCGACGACGUUAACAAUUUCGAUGCUUCUCCGACCCGUCUUGAAACACGGACCAAGGAGUCUAACAGGUGCGCGAAUUACUGGGUAGCUUGAAACCCAGGGGUGUAACGAAAGUAAAUCAUCGGUUUAGGCCGGAGGAAAGAUGCCGCGUUUACGGACGUGGUCGCAUUUCCGUUCUGCCGCGAUCGGAGCAAUCGCGAUGCGGUGGAAAAAGAGCGUACACGUUGGGACCCGAAAGAUGGUGAUCUAUGCCUGGGCAGGAUGAAGCC